GUAAAUAAUAAAGGGCGUAUGGUGGAUGCCUAGGCUCUCAGAGGCGAUGAAGGACGUGAUAAGCUGCGAAAAGCUCCGUUUAGGUGCAAAUAACCUUUGAUGCGGAGAUCUCCGAAUGGGAUAACCCAAUAUGUUGAAGACAUAUUAUACCGUAAGGUAGGCAAACGCAGGGAACUGAAACAUCUAAGUACCUGCAGGAGAAGAAAACAAACGUGAUUCCCCCAGUAGCGGCGAGCGACCGGGGAAAAGCCCAAACCGUUAUUGUUUCGGCAUUAACGGGGUAGUAGGACUGCAAGCUUGAUGAAAUAAAUGAAAUGGAACACUUUGGAAAAUGUGAUCACAGAGGGUGAUAAUCCCGUACAUGCAAGUUUAUGAAUCAUAGCAGACUCCUGAGUAAGUCGGGACACGUGUAAUCCUGACCGAAUCCGCCGGGACCAUCCGGCAAGGCUAAAUACUCCUGAGAGACCGAUAGUGAACCAGUACCGUGAGGGAAAGGUGAAAAGCACUUCGAACAGAAGAGUGAAAUAGUCCCUGAACCCAUACGCCUACAAGCAGUCGGAGCCGCUUCGUGCGGUGACGGCGUGCCUUUUGCAUAAUGAGCCUACGAGUUACUCAUCACCAGCGAGGUUAAGUACUUCAGGUACGUAAGCCGAAGCGAAAGCGAGUCUGAAUAGGGCGUCAAGUUGGUGGUGGUAGACGCGAAACCUUAGUGAUCUACCCAUGGGCAGGGUGAAGGUUUGGUAACACAAACUGGAGGCCCGAACCGGUAAACGUUGAAAAGUUUUCGGAUGACCUGUGGGUAGGGGUGAAAGGCCAAUCAAACUGGGAAAUAGCUCGUACUCUCCGAAAUGCAUUUAGGUGCAGCCUCUGUUGUUUUGUUCUAGAGGUAGAGCUACUGAUUGGAUGCGAGGGCUUCACCGCCUAUCAAAUCCGGCCAAACUCCGAAUGCUAGAACAUGAAGACAGGGAGUGAGCCAGCGGGUGCUAAGGUCCGUUGACGAAAGAGGGAGAACUCAGACCAUCAGCUAAGGUCCCCAAUUGUAUGCUAAGUUGGAAUAAAAACGGGGUGGGACUGCUUAGACAGCUAGGAUGUUGGCUUGGAAGCAGCCAUUCAUUUAAAGAGUGCGUAACAGCUCACUAGUCGAGCGGUCCUGCAUGGAUAAUACGCGGGCAUAAGCAUAUAACCGAAGCUAUGGGAUUGUAGAUGAUACAAUCGGUAGGAGAGCAUUCCAUUCAGCAUAGAAGCAGUAUCGUGAGGUAUUGUGGAGCGGAUGGAAAAGCAAAUGUAGGCAUAAGUAACGAUAAUGCGGGUGAGAACCCCGCACGCCGAAAGAUCAAGGAUUCCCCGGCAAUGUCAAUCAUCCGGGGGUAAGUCGGAUCCUAAGGGUAAGCCGAGUGGCGAUCCCGAUGGCAAACAGGUUAAUAUUCCUGUACUGAUCAUAACUGCGAUGCAGCGACGCAGAGGUGACACUGCUGCGUACUGACGGAAUAGUACGUUGAAACCCGUAUUCUUUGAUACCGGUAGUGAAGCACGCCGGUAGAGAUGAAAGGUGAUAGUACCGCAAUGCUUCGGUUGCGCGGAUAACGCAGGUAAGCUGACUGCCAAGAAAACCUGCUAAGCUUCAGGUAAUGAUCAUCCGUACUGUAAACGGACACACGUGAUCAGGUAGAAAAUACUAAGGCGCUCGAGAGAUUCAUGGUUAAGGAACUAGGCAAAAUGGUCCUGUAACUUCGGGAUAAAGGACGCUCUUGUGAAAGAGCCGCAGAUAAUAGGCCCAGGCGACUGUUUACCAAAAACACAUGGCUAUGCUAAUUCGCAAGAAGAUGUAUAUGGCCUGACACCUGCCCGGUGCCGGAAGGUUAAGAGGAGAGCUCAGAUGUAAGUCGAAGGUUUGAAUUGAAGCCCCGGUAAACGGCGGCCGUAACUAUAACGGUCCUAAGGUAGCGAAAUUCCUUGUCGGGU
rnacentral:rRNA from 1 species